GACAGAGGUCCCGAGCGUUAGGCGGAAUCACUGGGCUUAAAGCGUGUGUAGGCGGAUCGUUAAGUGCCUUGUGAAAUCCCACGGCCUAACCGUGGAACUGCUUGGCAUACUGGCGGUCUUGAGCAACCUAGGGGCAAGCGGAACAAAUGGUGGAGCGGUGAAAUGCGUAGAUAUCAUUUGGAACGCCAAUGGUGAAAACAGCUUGCUGGGGGUUUUCUGACGCUGAGACACGAAAGCCAGGGGAGCGAACGGG
rnacentral:rRNA from 1 species